GGUGUGUGCCCGAAAUAAGGGUCACUUUGAUAGAGUGAGACAUAAGAGUUAAAGCCUCUUCACACCC
rnacentral:tRNA from 1 species